UCAUUUCGUAAGACUUUCGGAUCUUGUAAUUUCCUUUUAUUUUGUUUGUUUUUAAUAAUUAAAGCCUAGACCUAGGCGAUUGCCUAGCUGAUUGCCAAAAAAAAAGUGAUUAAACAAGAAUAUUGAUCCUAUAGGCAUGGUAUCUACCCUUUAGCAUAUGCAAGCAAAUAUAAACCCCUCCCACACCCUUUACUAAUAUUUCCCUGAGUUCUUUUUUUUACAAGAUUAUUACAGAAGCAAAAAAAAGAAAGUAAACAAAAAUACAUCACAGCCUACAGCUAGAUCCAACUGCCUAAUGCAAUCUCAAUAUCCAAUAACAUGUGUUUCACCAAAUUUGGUUUCCAGAUUCCAAUGCCUUCUCUUAUUCAGAGUGUUUCAAAAUUCCAAGGAACCUCCAAGACCCUAGGCAGUGCUUGCACUCUGAAUAUUAGAUAUUAUAGCAUAAUAGUGCAAGUGUGGAAUUACCAGCCCUUAGGCAUCCAAGUUUAGAGGGAAUUUCAGGGUCCCUAAGCAUGGCUUACCAAAGGGGAGUAAAACUUAGGAACUAGGAAUGUGGGCAAAGUGAGGUUGAACCAUAGCAGAGGGUGGUCAUACCCAGCCAUGGCAUAGGCUGGCACACCCCUGACCCUUGCUUAGGUCAAACAAAUAGGAGAAGACUAUGGGGAGUCAAACUUAGGGGUUGAGUGGUGAUUAGGACACUACCAGACCCAAGUUAAAGCUCAACACAUAAAGGGGGGAGGGAAUGGGAAAGCAUUUGAGUAGAGAUUCAGGAGAGUCUGAUUCUAGAUCAUGGACAGCAAUAUCAAGAUGUUGCCAUGAUUCAGACAGUACUAGCACACAAAACGGGAAUAGAGGGAAGGGAUUUCCCUACAAAAGCAUACACUGAAAUUAAGGAAAAUAUAAGAAAGCAUAGCAGACUGAAGAUGCAAGGACAUAGAAGAAAGAAAUACAACAUGCUACAGUUACAGGACAUAAACACAUAGUGAAGAAUGUGUAGGAGAAGAGAAGUGAACACACAUAGUUGGAGAGGGUUAUUUAACUAGGAAUACAUACCAGUUGCAAUUCUAGUACAACAUAACAAUAGCAAGUAGACAGCCAGACAGUUAGCAGGAACAACUCAAAAACUUCAGCAAGCACUUGGGAAUUUAGAGUAACUCCAGAAAUAUUCAGACAGUAGGAGAGGAAGGACCAGAGUGCUUAGUAGUAGUAGUAGUAGUAGAGAAAGCCGUAGUAGAGAAAGUAGCAGUAAAGACAGUAGAUAGCAGUAUAUUUCAAAGACAAAGAUGAUUGUAUAUUGCAAAAGUACAAAAAAGAACACUGUUCGAGAGGGAGCUAUUCGAAAAGGUUGUUCCUUUUUAUAGUGCAAAAACGAGUAAACAAAAAGGCAAGCAAAUAAACUUUUUGUAAAUCAAAUAGAAUCUCCCUUGGUCAAAGAGAUUUGAUUUCAAACGGGAAUGAGUAAUUAAGGAAAGGAAAAUAAUGAAAACCUUUUCAGAGUAGCAUAAUAGGGGUAAGUUCAUAUAGUAUAUUUAAAGUAAAAAGCCUAUAGUAAACAGUUUUGAGAAAAUUAGGAAAAUAAAGUAAUCAAACAGCCGGAAAUUUUAAAGUCUUGAGUGAACUUAGUCGUGAAAAGAGGGGAAGAGGUUAAGUUGUAAAAUCAAUAGCAAAUCAAUUGAGCAUUAGUAAAAGGAGAUUGAAAUUAAUCACAAGCUAACAGAAUCAAUUCAGAUGAAAACCCUUGCAUAUAAAGCAUACCAGUGUCAAAUAAGAAAGAAAAUAUCGGCACCGAUAGUUUCAAAAUCACAAGCAAAAAGCAAGUUUCAUUUCAGUGUAUAAACUCAGCACGGGUUGAGAGCCUAGGGUUUUUAGAAUAUAACCCUAGAACCAAAACUCGCAAAAAUUUUAACACAGGGUUUCAAUCCGAGUAGAAAAGAGAAGGCAAGCCCUCACAACAAGCUUAGGGAACUCUUCCAGAGUUCCCUGAGGAAACACACGAAUAUACGUAGCAAAUUAGAAGCAGCAGAGUGAAGCUUGUAAAGAACAAGUUUUAGAAGAAAGCUGAAAACUCAAGCCAGUUCAGUCAUAGCACGUUGGAAAUAGUAAAAGAAACAAGUUUAGGACCAAAUGAAUCCAGCAGAGGCAAACAAUCUUAGUAGGAGAAACAGUAGAAAGUCAUGCUAGAUAAAUGUGUAAAUCAUACUUGUAAAAAAAUCAAUAGAAGCAAUAACGGAGUAAAACAUGCAUAAGAAUAGACGAAACACACAUAAGUAUGGCGUGGACGCACAGAUUCGUAUAGAGAAAGAAAAAGAAGAAGAAUCAUUUUAGGAUUUUUGAAAACCCUAAGUUUAAGCAGACUAAUUUUAAAAAAGGAAAAUUGGGGAAAAGCAUUAAAAGAUUGAGCAGAACACAGAUCUGUUACAGAUCUAAGAAAACAAGGAAAGAUAGAACCUCGAACAAGCUUCUUUAAAUAUUCUCAAAAACCCUAGAAACGAGAAGGCCUGGAACGAUCUGGUCCUGAGUAGGCUUGGGCCAUGGCUAGGCCUUUCAGAGCUUGAACAUGCCAGAACGGAGCCAUAGAAGCCAAAAGAACUCAGAUCGGUGGAGGACCUGAAGAAUUCUGUUGAAGAAUGGACUUUGAAAGCUUCGAACAAUCGUGGUAUGGGGUGAAGGGAAGAGGGUAUAGGCCGUCCAUGGCCUGGGAAACCAUGGACGCCGGUAAGAUUUGAUCGAAGACGACGAUACAGACGGCUAGGGUUUCGAGUGGUUUAGAGAGAGUAUGAGAGCAUGAGAGAAUUUGGGGGCGGCUACUUUGGAGAAACGAUUAGUG
rnacentral:lncRNA from 1 species